UAUAUUCAUAAAUUUAUACAGUUAUUAAUUUAAAAUAUUGAUGGGACCAUAUAUUUACAUAGAAUUUUCAAAAAUUUUAUUAUCUUAUUAAUUUAUCGAUUUGUAUCAAUUUUUACACUAGUCCCAACUCGGAACCAGAAAAAUUUAUUAAUUUAUAGAAGUUAUUAAUUUAUCGAAUAUUAAUUUAUAGAGGUUAUACUGUAUUUCUCUUUUAUUUGGGUUGUAUUUCUUCUUUUUUUACUGAGUUUGAGAUUUAAUUUUA
rnacentral:sRNA from 1 species